rnacentral:rRNA from 1 species
UACGUAGGGGGCAAGCGUUGUCCGGAUUUAUUGGGCGUAAAGCGCUCGCAGGUGGUCCGUUGCGUCGUGCGUGAAAGACCCCGGCUCAACUGGGGAGUGUCGUGCGAUACGGGCGGACUGGAGGCCAGUAGGGGGAUGCGGAAUUCCGGGUGUAGUGGUGGAAUGCGUAGAGAUCCGGAAGAACACCGGUGGCGAAGGCGGCCCGCUGGGCAGGAAGACCUCGUAAGAGGUCGGCUGACACUGAGGCGCGACAGCGUGGGGGAGCAAACAGG